UACGUAGGGGGCUAGCGUUGUCCGGAAUCAUUGGGCGUAAAGCGCGUGUAGGCGGUUCGGUAAGUCCGCUGUGAAAGUCGGGGGCUCAACCCUCGAAAGCCGGUGGAUACUGUCGGGCUAGAGUACGGAAGAGGCGAGUGGAAUUCCUGGUGUAGCGGUGAAAUGCGCAGAUAUCAGGAGGAACACCGGUGGCGAAGGCGGUUCUCUGGGAAUAUCCUGACGCUGAGGAGCGAAAGUGUGGGGAGCGAACAGG
rnacentral:rRNA from 1 species